CUAACACUAGUCGAACGUACGAGGCGGGGGUUUCGGACCUAGCGGCGGACGGGUGAGUAAUGCGUAGGAAGCUACCCGAUAGAGGGGGAUACCAGUUGGAAACGACUGUUAAUACCGCAUAAUGUCUACGGACCAAAGUGUAGGACCUUCGGGCCACAUGCUAUCGGAUGCGCCUACGUGGGAUUAGCUAGUUGGUGAGGUAAUGGCUCACCAAGGCGACGAUCUCUAGCUGGUUUGAGAGGAUGAUCAGCCACACUGGAACUGAGACACGGUCCAGACUCCUACGGGAGGCAGCAGUGGGGAAUAUUGGACAAUGGGCGCAAGCCUGAUCCAGCCAUGCCGCGUGUGUGAAGAAGGCCUUCGGGUUGUAAAGCACUUUCAGCGAGGAGGAAGAGUUGUGUGUUAAUAGUACACAGCUUUGACGUUACUCGCAGAAGAAGCACCGGCUAACUCUGUG
rnacentral:rRNA from 1 species